AGUUUGAUCCUGGCUCAGGACGAACGCUGGCGGCGUGCCUAAUACAUGCAAGUCGAGCGGACAGAAGGGAGCUUGCUCCCGGAUGUUAGCGGCGGACGGGUGAGUAACACGUGGGUAACCUGCCUGUAAGACUGGGAUAACUCCGGGAAACCGGAGCUAAUACCGGAUAGUUCCUUGAACCGCAUGGUUCAAGGAUGAAAGACGGUUUCGGCUGUCACUURCAGAUGGACCCGCGGCGCAUUAGCUAGUUGGUGGGGUAAUGGCUCACCAAGGCGACGAUGCGUAGCCGACCUGAGAGGGUGAUCGGCCACACUGGGACUGAGACACGGCCCAGACUCCUACGGGAGGCAGCAGUAGGGAAUCUUCCGCAAUGGACGAAAGUCUGACGGAGCAACGCCGCGUGAGUGAUGAAGGUUUUCGGAUCGUAAAGCUCUGUUGUUAGGGAAGAACAAGUGCGAGAGUAACUGCUCGCACCUUGACGGUACCUAACCAGAAAGCCACGGCUAACUACGUGCCAGCAGCCGCGGUAAUACGUAGGUGGCAAGCGUUGUCCGGAAUUAUUGGGCGUAAAGGGCUCGCAGGCGGUUUCUUAAGUCUGAUGUGAAAGCCCCCGGCUCAACCGGGGAGGGUCAUUGGAAACUGGGAAACUUGAGUGCAGAAGAGGAGAGUGGAAUUCCACGUGUAGCGGUGAAAUGCGUAGAGAUGUGGAGGAACACCAGUGGCGAAGGCGACUCUCUGGUCUGUAACUGACGCUGAGGAGCGAAAGCGUGGGGAGCGAACAGGAUUAGAUACCCUGGUAGUCC
rnacentral:rRNA from 1 species